rnacentral:lncRNA from 1 species
GUGAGACAAAUAUUUAUUGAGCACCCACUGUGUGCCAGGCACUGCGAACGAGCCCCAGGAAGCCCACAGUGGAGGGGGGGGGCAGACAAGUAAACAGGCCCCUCGGCUUAGGGACCGUGAGGGGCCCAAUCCAGCUGGAGUCAGGGAGCCUCUCGGCAGAAGUGUCAUCCAAGCUGAGGCGGGAAGGCAGAGCAGGAUCCCACGGCUGAAAGGAGGUGCGGGGAGCCGGGGAGCUCCAGGAAGCAGCCUGUACGCGUGGGUCCACGUAGAGUCUGAGAGCGCAGCAUCCAGAUGGAGAAGCGGCGGAGGCGGUGGAGCGGGGCUCCUGUCCACUCACUCAUCCGUGGGUGCGUGGAGUCCCACUGUGCUGGGUGCUGGCAAGGGCGAACAAAGGAGAUACGGUCCCUGCCCUCCCAAAUCACAUGGCAGUGGGAGAGGGAGACGAGAGCAAACCGAGUGGCCAAAUACAUAAACCAGAUCACUGCGGGGUGUGAAGAGCGAGUGGGGCCGGCCAGCCUGGGACAUGGGGAGCCGAAGCUGGAAGCUGCAGCCAGGAGUUCGGAUGUCCUGGGAGGACUGGCGCCAGCGCAGAGCCGGAGGACAGCUUGCCGAGCCCCUCCCUGGCGGGCUGAUAAAUGCCGGCCGCGGCCCCCUGUGCGCCAGAGCUGCCUUAAUUGGUAUCAGGACGUGCCUGGACUCCAUCCGCCAGGCCUCUGCCUUCCUCUCCUCCUGCUGCCUCCUUCUCCACCCCGCCGGCCUCCAGCCUUCAGCCAAGGGACUCCAGCCCCUGGCAGCGCUCACCUGCUGCCCAGCCUGCGGAGGGGCCUCCUGAAGACCCCCGACUCCGAGCCCACCCCUGGGCUCCUGGGGGAGGGCGCAGCAGCCGCUGCCCCAGGAGGGGCACGGGAGGGGGGAUUCCUGUAUAUGUGAUACCUACUGUGUGCCCAGCCUGUGCUAACGAAGCCUUCUGCCCACCCCCCUCACUCACCCUCCCAUAGCCCUGCGAGGCGGAGUUCGCAGUUCGGGGAACCAUCCUCCUUUCCCGUCGUGUCGUCUGCACUCCCAGGAAGUAUUUUCUGAGCACUCUCCAUGCCUGGCCCCAGCUGUGGCUGGGGAUGCCCAAGGAGCCCCCUGGCUGGCUGGCAGGAAGGAGGCUGCCUUCCCAGUGGCCCAGCCCUGCUGGCAGCCACGCGGUGGGCUGGUAGGUGUUAAGGAUGGGCCCUGACCCCUUGCCCAUCUGGGCAAGUUCAGAGAGGUCUGGCAACCUGCCUAAGAUCACAGAGCUAGAAAAGGGGAGAGAAAGGCUGCUCUCCAAACAAACUCACUGUGAAUUCUCAGCAUCAUGUGUGCCCAGACCACCCAGGGUGCAUGUUAGAAAGUUAAAUGCCCCCCACCCUGAGUUUCUGAGUCUUGGACAUCAAGCUUCCCAGGUGAGAGGGCGGCUGAAAUCCGGCGGGCCUGGCCCAGGCCACUCUGGACCUGGUGAGGAAGGAGGAACGGUUCUCAGCUCCCAGCCCUCCUGGAAAAGCAGGCAGGGCGGGGCAGGGCAGGGGUGACGUUGCAUUCCUUCACUCUAGCAGCACUCACCAAGCCCCUGGCUGGUCAGGCUCCAGUGCAAAAGGAACGCGCAGGGCCCGAAGUCACUAAGAAUUCCAAGGCUGUGACAGCAGAGCGUUUAUCCCAGCACCAGACCCUUUCAAGCCAGGGGCACGGAUCACACGCCCAGGAAGCUGGCCCUGGUCCUGGGGGAACCAAACAGGAAGACAGAUAAAUGAGCCCAAUCUCCUGGUCCCUUAAAAGGAAUCCUAAAAUUAAUAAAAGGUCUGAAAACCCGAA